rnacentral:rRNA from 1 species
CCUACGGGAGGCAGCAGUGGGGAAUAUUGCACAAUGGGGGAAACCCUGAUGCAGCGACGCCGCGUGAGUGAAGAAGUAUUUCGGUAUGUAAAGCUCUAUCAGCAGGGAAGAAAUAAAGUCCUUUGGACUUUGGACGGUACCUGACUAAGAAGCCCCGGCUAACUACGGGCCAGCAGCCGCGGUAAUACGUAGGGGGCAGGGGUUAUCCGGAUUUACUGGUUGUAAAGGGAGCGUAGACGGCAGCGCAAGUCUGGAGUGAAAUCCCAUGGCUUAACCAUGGAACUGCUUUGGAAACUGUGCAGCUGGAGUGCGGGAGAGGUAAGCGGAAUGCGUGGUGUAGCGGUGAAAUGCGUAGAUAUUA